rnacentral:rRNA from 3 species
AAACUUUCAACAACGGAUCUCUUGGCUCUGGCAUCGAUGAAGAACGCAGCGAAAUGCGAUACGUAAUGCGAAUUGCAGAAUUCAGCGAGUCAUCGAAUCUUUGAACGCACAUUGCGCCCGCCAGCAUUCUGGCGGGCAUGCCUGUUCGAGCGU